rnacentral:rRNA from 1 species
CCUACGGGCGGCAGCAGUGGGGAAUAUUGGACAAUGGGCGAAAGCCUGAUCCAGCCAUGCCGCGUGUGUGAAGAAGGCCUUCGGGUUGUAAAGCACUUUCAGUGGGGAAGAAAGCCUUGGGGCUAAUACCCUCGAGGAAGGACAUCACCCACAGAAGAAGCACCGGCUAACUCCGUGCCAGCAGCCGCGGUAAUACGGAGGGUGCGAGCGUUAAUCGGAAUUACUGGGCGUAAAGCGCGCGUAGGCGGUCUGAUAAGCCGGUUGUGAAAGCCCCGGGCUCAACCUGGGAACGGCAUCCGGAACUGUCAGGCUAGAGUGCAGGAGAGGAAGGUAGAAUUCCCGGUGUAGCGGUGAAAUGCGUAGAGAUCGGGAGGAAUACCAGUGGCGAAGGCGGCCUUCUGGACUGACACUGACGCUGAGGUGCGAAAGCGUGGGUAGCAAACAGGAUUAGCUACCCGUGUAGU